UACGUAGGGCGCAAGCGUUGUCCGGAAUUAUUGGGCGUAAAGAGCUCGUAGGCGGCUUGUCACGUCGAUUGUGAAAGCCCGAGGCUUAACCUCGGGUCUGCAGUCGAUACGGGCUAGCUAGAGUGUGGUAGGGGAGAUCGGAAUUCCUGGUGUAGCGGUGAAAUGCGCAGAUAUCAGGAGGAACACCUGAGGCGAAGGCAGGUCUCUGGGCCACUACUGACGCUGAGAAGCGAAAGCAUGGGGAGCGAACAGG
rnacentral:rRNA from 1 species